CCUCCUUCUCCUCCUCCUCUCCCGGCCCCUCCAUGCUGGCGCCGCCCGGGCGAGCCUCCCCCGCCCUCCGCUCUCCCGCGGUCGCCAUCCCCCCCGGCCCGGUCCACGUAAAGAGUUGCUGUUGAUCCAUGAAAGACGCGCGCUAAAGUUUUCGAGGCGUCAGAAGUGAUGUGCCAUGAGUAACCUCGUGGAGACGAGGAGGUCCAUGUCUCUCCUGUGCUGAGGACCCCAGAGCUGGACGCAGAACUGCAGGGGGGGUCUCACCCGAUCGGAGCAGAGGGGCAGAAUCGCCUGACCCGUAUCCCUUAGGACUGCGAACUCCACCAGUGCGUGAUCACUGCUGCCUCCAAUCUUGACGUCACCGAUUAGCUCACUUGCGUUGGUGACCAUCAGGUCCCAGUAUCGCAUCCCCUCUGGUAGGGCUGUCUAUUACCUGGCUUAAGAAGUUAUCCUCCACGCGCUCCGGGAGUCUCCUGGAUUGCCUACAGCUCGCCGUGCUGCUUUUACAGGAGAUGUCGGGGGGGUUGAAGUCCCCCAGCAGGAUGAGAGCCGGCGAGUGCGAUGCCUCCUGUCGCUGGAGUGAGAAGGCUUCGUCAGCGGGCUCCCCUCGAUCGGGCGACCUGUGGUAGACACCAACCACAAGGUUGGUUGGUUCCCCUUUUUGAGAUUUUUAUAUUAGCAGUGCGCAGCGUAGUGUCACUUAUUUUGAAGCUGACAUUUUGCAUUAUACAGGUUUUUAGUUGCUCAUAAAACUUUUGCCAGCUUGCACGAGUCUGAAAUUUUCCAUAAGGGGUGUUGGCCUCAAACUGAAUUUUUUUGGGAAGAUUCCAGACACAGUUUUUUCAGCUGCCUGAGAUCAAAAUGCAGAUUAUUUGCCCUUGCUAUAAAAAAACCAAACAAAACAAAACCAAAAUGAAGGGUUUUUUAAAUUGAAAAGUUAAAGAAAAAAAAUUUACAUUUAAACAGCAGGAUGGUCCUUGUGUUGAGCAGGGGGCCCUGGCAUCCUCUGGGGAGCUGCCAAGUUAUUUGGCUGCAUAAAAGUCUUUGAAAUAUCUUGGUUUACAAAUAUUCAGUAGACUUCUAAAUACUUACUUGUUAAAGGUAGGGUUUCACAGGCAAUUUUAUUUCUAGCGCUUCCUUAUUAAGUGCUGUGCAAGCUUAAAGGAAUUUUUAAUUGGGUAGGGAGGUUAAUUAUUUAUUCUACCAUUUCAAAUAACAUCCUCUUAGUUUAAACUCUCAUUGGCUUAGGGGGAGAAAGGUAACAAAAAAAAAAAAUCCAAGAUUUACCUUAUAACUCUCUAAGCUCACAUUUCAUUUGCCUUAUUUGUCCAUGAAUCAAAGAUAUCGCCUCCAGAGUUGUUGGCGAGUACAUGUAAUAAAGGUAAAAGGACUAGUAAAUAUUCAACCCGAUAUGUUGCUGGAAGUCAGCACUGACAGAUCUUGAAAAAGAAAGGCUAGAGAGGAUUCAAAGAGUUAAAAGGUAUUUCUCUUUUCUCUUUUUGGCUGAUAAAGUUGUAGAUGGCCCUGAGGGCUAUCUACUUCAGUGACUACAUAAGCAUUGCAUUUUGAAAUAGGACUGCACCAGCCCCUCCCUGUUUCUCCAAUAAAUAGUUUAACAAGACAGCAGGGCAUUACAAAACAAACCAUUACACUGUGGGACAAACCCUCUUUUCAGUGAGACUUUAAUAGAAACAGAAUUUGUGCUAGAGUAACAGUAAAGACAACACUGAUUUUUAGGGUUGUAUUUUUCGAUUCAAAGCUGUGUUAUUUGCCCUCUCUCCAGCAAAACUCUUCCGUAGCUACAUUAAUGGUGCUCUGGGUGAGCUACAAGGCUACUUUGAAACCCUUUGGUGAAAGAUCCUAUGUAAAACUGAAAACUGAGUUCCUCUGGCACAGACAUGAGCAGCUUCUUUUCUCAUCUUUACAUAAAAACACAUCAUAUAGGAUUGGACCAACAGGACUCCAAUUGAAUGGAGCAAAAGGAAGAAGCAAAGCACAAAUUAAACUUCUAAAAGUCAAGGGUUCUCUGAAGAAGCCCCUCGUCUCUCCCUGUCCUCACCUGACUUGAGGUGCGGAAUCUGCACUCUACUUUAAUUGAUAGGAGGUUGUGAACUGCUUAUACAUGAAGCAGCUUUUCAGCACUCCGUACGCUGCCAAGUUGCACAGAGAGAACUGGUGGGAGAAAGGGUAGGGAGAAAAGAGGAAUAAACCGAACAAGCUCUCCUGUGGGUAUUAUUCCACUUUGGAGUAAGUUGAGUUUCCACCUGGAGUUAACUACAAUCACAGUUCUGAACACUGGCCCUCCAAAUCCCCAUAGUAUCCUGACAGUUGUUGCAAGUCUCAUGCUGUGAAGAGCGUACAUACAGAGGAUUCAAAUCCACCCGUGGUACCCUGAGUGACGAGGACUUCAGCAUUCUACGCUGAUGUGGAAGAGGUGCGAGUCCUCGCUGUGAAUGAGUAAAAUCUCUACCAAAGAAACAAUCUGAGAAGAAACAAUACCAAGAAGAAACCACAAAUUCAGUGAAAGCUACUAGAGAAGAGCUAUUAGUUUUACAUCAAGAGCUCCGACCAACAGCCUUAACGCUAUUGUACAUAAGCAGUCUGAAACAGAUCUAAACAGGCAGAAGGAACGACAGCUCAUCAUCUCUCUCAGACUAUCUGAACUACAAUAUCUGAAGCUGUUUUUCUUGUUUGUUGACAUGCCCUAUUCUAGAGUCCUGCAAAUACCCAAGGACAGAAGACACAGCUGUGCUCUACCAUGGACUGUGCAUCACAACUAAUAAAAACAAGGCAGUUUGGAUGAUACCUUAGAUCAGGGGUGCCCAGCAUCUAAGAACAUGUGGUCUGCCAUAACAAUUCAUUCAGCUUACAGCUCAAUCCUGACUAUUUUCAGUUAUGUAAAAGGAGGGAAACACAAUUUAUACCGUUCAUUUUACAGC